CAGAAAUAUUCUUUCUUGCUCAAAAUAAGUGGAUAUCGUUCAUGAGAGAUAUAGACCUAUUUAAACAAAUCUCUUUUAAAUUCCCGCGAUGAUAUCUGGCACAUUCCGAAAAUUACGUAUUAGCAACUGAUAGGCUGAAGGGCUGGGCGGUCCCCGCCAAAGUUCAUUUAUAUGAAGGGUUUUAAGGAUUUUAACAGCAGGUCGCUGACUGUAGAUCAGUUCCGGCUUUGGCAACAAUUUUCCAGUCAAAUUUUCAGAAACUUUUCCCGCGAACUUUAAAAACACUCUGAUCUGCGCACCCACAGAAGUACAAGUAAUGGACCUGACAUCAGCCUGCUGCUCUGUGAUUUUCACCUGCCUUCUCUCGGCUGUCUCUUCAAUCCAGGAAAACAUCAUAGCUGUGUCCAAACAGAAGACCAUUCUGACAUGUCGAGCUUCAAACGACAACAACAUCUUAGCUGUAAAGUGGAGCAGAGUUGACCAGAAGGAGGGAUAUGUCUUUUUGUACCAGGAUGGGCACAUUAUUCCAGAUUAUCAGGAUUCAUCUUUUAAGAACCGGGUGGAUCUGCAGGGAAGACAUAAGAAGGAUGGAGACGUGUCUCUGAUUCUGAAGGAUGUCACAACUGCAGAUGCUGGAACAUACAAGUGUCAUGUUGCCCAGAAAUCAGGGGAACCUAUGAGCCUCAUCACCACCAUAAACCUGAGUGUUGUUGAUCCUCCAGGUCAGACAGGAGGAGACACAGAGGAUGGAGGGAAGGAGGCAGAAGAGAAGGAAGCAGGAGGGAAGGAGGAUGAAUCUUUUGGACUGAAAGUUGGUCUUCCUGUUGGCGUUAUUGUUGCUGCUGUUGUUGUUGUUGGUGGUGUUUUAAUCUACAGGAAACUUAAACCACAGAGUCAGGGUUCAUACCAGCCUCCAGCUGAACAGCAGCCUGUUUGAAAUGUGAAAAUAAGAUUUUCACAAGUUUUUAAAUGUUAUUUUUGUUUGGUGCAAACAUCGACAAACAGUCCAACAGAGAAACAGAGUCAGGAUUCAGGAUUCGCCUCCUUGAACUCUCUCAGAGGGCUUCCAGCUGACCUGAGUCUCCUGCUGCUGUUCCAGCUUCUCAGAGCAGAGACAGACGAGGACAUCCUGGAUUUGUUGUUCAGCAUCUUUGUGAACGAUUUCAUCACGUUGUGUUGAACAGUUUUAAAGAUGGAUUCAUUCCAAAAGAAGAUUGAACUAAUGUCGUACUUUUCCUUCUUUUUCUUUAGUUUUCUUGAAUUUCAGACGUGUCCUGUUUCUACUGUAUGUGUAGCUGUUAGCUCGUGACCUCUGCUCCUGCUGAGCUGAAGCCUCAGACUGUUUCUGUAGUUUAAAUAGACGAGACAUCUAUAAUAUAUAUUUGUAUAUAUUAAAUUACACGGAGCUUUUAUUUAUUUCUGUUUAUUUAUACACUUUUAAAAUUAUUGCUGGUACAGAUUUUAUUGUUUUACGUUAUUAUUGAUGAAAAAAUGAGUUGGUUUUUGUAUACAUGAAUUCUCUUUUAUAAAAAAUAUUUUCUAACCUGUAUUCCAAAACGUUGGUUCUGUUCAUCUGGACGUAGCUUGUAAAUGUCCUGUUUAUAAGGUUGGGGAAACCUGCAGUCACUUGGAUGAGUGACGAAACGUUUCUCCCACUGAAAACACUACGUCCAGGUGAACAGAGUCAACUUUUGGAGAUUUACUUACCUGGGUGAUUGAACAUGCAUCAAGGCCCUUUCUCACCUGUACAGUCUGUUUUUGUUCUGUAAAUAAAUUUUCUUAACCUGAA
ensembl:lncRNA